rfam:Colletotrichum incanum strain MAFF 238704 contig1771, whole genome shotgun sequence.
GUCAAGGUGCCAGAGUGGUUAAUGGGCUGCCCUGCUAUUGGAUCUUCCAAUGUCAGCAAAGGCAGUGGCUUCGGUCGCGCAGGUUCGAAUCCUGUCCUUGACG